UACGUAGGGUGCGAGCGUUGUCCGGAAUUAUUGGGCGUAAAGAGCUUGUAGGCGGUUUGUCGCGUCUGCCGUGAAAAUCCGAGGCUCAACCUCGGACUUGCGGUGGGUACGGGCAGACUAGAGUGUGGUAGGGGAGACUGGAAUUCCCGUGGUGAGCGGUGAAAUGUGUAGAGAUCGGGAAGGAACACCGGUGGCGAAGGCGGGUCCUGC
rnacentral:rRNA from 1 species